AGCUUUGCGCAGGGGGCAGAUCGAAACCAAUGGGGUUUAACCGAGGUGGAUUUUUGCUAGUUGAAAAUUUUUCCCCAAACCCCGCCGGACGUCGUGAAAAACCGAGGGUAUGCAAUUUUGAAGCCCUCCAGGGC